GUACGGGGACUCAGGUAUGUUUACUAUUCCCUGUAGGAUAGAUAAUACUGUGAUCAGAAGGGCCAUGUUGGAUCUGGGAGCAUCGAUUAAUGUCAUGCCUAAAUCUAUCUAUGCUUCUUUGAAACUAGGUCCAUUAAAAGAAACUGGAAUAAUUAUUCAAUUAGCUGACCGAACUAAUGCAUAUCCUGAUGGGUUGAUUGAAGAUGUGUUGGUAAAGGUCAAUGAUUUGGUGUUUCCAGCUGAUUUUUAUGUACUUGAUAUGGAUGAUGAUCACUCCCCUGAUCCCUCACCUUUGUUAUUGGGUAGACCUUUUAUGAGCACAGCACAGACGAAAAUUGAUGUUAAUAAGGGUACCUUGUCCAUGGAGUUUGAUGGGGAAAUUGUGCAUUUUAACAUUUUUGAUACUAUGAAGUACCCCUCGAACUCCAACUUUAGCUCAAUUUUUUCUGUGAGUGCUAUUGACCCUGUAGUGCAGGAAGUGUUUGAAACUGAUGGCAGGGAUGAGUUGGAAGUGGCUUUAACCAAGCACCUCGAGUUGGAGACAACUCCUCAGGUGGAGUGGAGUGAGGAUUUAAAAUGCACAAUAGAUGCAUUACACUCAUUGCCGACCACCACGAAAAGGUAUGAAAUCUUACCUAUUUUUACUCCCGAGCCUCACCAGAGCGUAUUGCCAUCUGUGGUGUAGGCACCUGUACUGGAGUUGAAACCUCUACCAGAGCACCUGAAAUAUGCAUAUUUGGGUGAUAAUGAGACACUCCCGGUGAUUAUCUCAUCGGCACUGUCAAAAAUCCAGGAGGAGAAACUGAUCCGGGUCCUUAGAGAGCAUAAAGAGGCGAUAGGUUGGACAAUUGCAGACAUUAAGGGGAUCAACCCGGCCGUCUGUAUGCAUCGGAUUAGACUAGAAGAGGAUGCCAAACCUGUACGACAGGCUCAAAGGAGGCUCAAUCCCCUCAUGAUGGAAGUUGUAAAGAAAGAAAUCUUAAAAUUGUUAGAUGUGGGGAUUAUUUUUACAAUAUCAGAUAGCCCUUGGGUGAGCCCGGUCCAGGUAGUCCCAAAGAAGGCAGGAGUGACUGUAGAGGCCAACCAAACGGGUGAACUCGUGCCAGUGCGCAAACCCACUGGAUGGAGGCAAUGUAUAGACUACCGUAGGCUAAAUGCCGUCACCAAAAAGGACCACUUCCCUCUCCCUUUCAUUGACCAAAUGGUUGAACGUUUAGCUUGUAGGGCUUAUUAUUGCUUUUUGGAUGGAUUUUCAGGAUACUUUCAGAUAGCAAUUGCCCCGAAGGAUCAAGAGAAGACAACCUUCACGUGCCCGUUCGGGACCUUUGCCUACAGACGAAUGCCAUUCGGGUUAUGCAAUGCACCUGCAACAUUUAAGAGGUGUAUGGUAAGUAUUUUUUCUGAAUAUGUGGAGAAAAUUAUUGAAGUUUUCAUGGACGAUUUCAGUGUAUAUGGUGAUAGUUUUGAUACGUGUCUAGAUAAUCUGAAAUUGAUCUUGAUAAGGUGUAUAGAGACUAAUCUUGUGCUUAAUUGGGAAAAAUGUCAUUUUAUGGUUGAGCACGGGAUAGUCAUGGGUCAUAUUGUAUCGUCUAAGGGCAUAGAAGUUGACAAGGCUAAAAUAGACAUUAUUUCUGCAUUACCUUACCUCGCGAGUGUGCGGGAGGUGCGUUCUUUUCUUGGACAUGCAGGUUUUUAUCGAAGGUUCAUCAGGGACUUUUCAAAAAUUGGAGCCCCGUUGUUCCAACUCCUACAAAAGGAUGUGACCUUCGAAUUCAAUGACAAAUGUGAGAAGGCCUUCGACAAGUUGAAAGAAUUGUUGACUUCACCCCCAAUCAUCCAGCCCCCUGACUGGAGUCUACCAUUUGAGAUUAUGUGCGAUGCCAGUGAUCAUGCUGUAGGGGCUGUAUUGGGGCAAAGAGUAGGGAAGGCAGCUCACGUCAUCUAUUAUGCAUCCCGAGCAUUGAAUGGAGCCCAGUUGAAUUACUCCACCACUGAGAAGGAGCUUCUUGCAGUUAUUUUUGCUUUAGAAAAAUUCAGGUCAUAUUUGCUAGGUGCUAAAGUAAUUGUAUUUUCUGACCAUGCAGCAUUAAGGUACCUAAUGACCAAGAAAGAUGCAAAGCCGAGGCUCAUCAGGUGGAUAUUGCUACUACAGGAAUUUGACCUGGAGAUAAGAGACAAAAAAGGCUCAGAAAAUCUAGUAGCAGACCAUUUAAGUCGCAUACCAAUUGGGGAGGAUAAUAAGCCAUUGAAGGAUGCAUUCCUUGAAGAGCAUUUAUUUUCCUUAAAUUCUCAAUUGUCUUGGUAUGCUGAUUUGGUCAAUUAUCUAGUAACGGGUGAUUUUCCUGCAGGUUGGCCAAAAUCGAAAAAGGAUAAAUUGAAAAGUGACGCCAAGUAUUUCAUCUGGGACGACCCGUACCUAUGGAAGAGAUGUGCCGACCAAAUAAUGAGGAGAUGUGUAAGUGAAGUGGAAUUUCAAUCAAUUUUAGCUUUUUGCCAUACUUUUGCCUGUGGAGGUCAUUUUGGACCUAAGAGAACUGCUCAGAAGGUUUUAGAAAGUGGAUUUUAUUGGCCUUCACUGUUUAAAGAUGCCUAUGUGUUUUGUAAGUCCUGUGAUCGCUGUCAACGGGUAGGUAAUAUAGCCCGAAGGGAUCAAAUGCCCCAGGUCUCGUUGAUUUUUAUUGAAAUUUUUGAUGUCUGGAGUAUAGAUUUCAUGGGGCCUUUUCCUACUUCAUUUGGUUUUUUAUAUAUUUUGCUGGCAGUUGAUUAUGUGUCUAAAUGGGUGGAGGCUAAGGCCACUCGAACUAAUGACUCGAAAGUAGUUGCAGAUUUUAUCAGGUCUAAUAUUUUUGUGCGAUUUGGAAUGCCUAGAGCUAUUGUCAGUGAUAGGGGAACGCACUUUUGCAACAAAACCAUAGCUGCGUUGUUUCGCAAGUAUGGUGUACUCCACAGGGUCUCAACGUCAUACCACCCUCAGACCAAUGGUCAAGCGGAGGUGUCGAAUCGGGAGAUUAAGACCAUUUUAGAGAAAAUGGUGCGCCCUAAUAGGAAAGAUUGGAGCCAAAGGUUGGAGGACGCACUCUGGGCCUAUCGGACGGCGUACAAGACUCCUAUAGGGAUGUCACCGUACAUGUUGGUAUUUGGGAAGCCGUGUCACCUUCCAGUGGAGUUCGAGCACAAGGCUUUUUGGACGAUAAAGCAAUGUAAUAUGAAUCUAGAAGAGGCCGGUGUUCAACGGAAGCUGGAUUUGCAAGAAUUGGAGGAGAUCCUGAACGAAGCAUAGGAAAACGCCUUGAUUUAUAAGGAGAAAAACCGGGCAUUUCAUGACCUACAAAUUUCAAGAAAAACAUUUGAAGUUGGUCAGAAGGUACUCCUGUACCAAUCCAGGCUCAAGCUAUUCCCAGGUAAGCUACGUUCCCGUUGGAUUGGACCUUUCAUUGUUACUCACGUUUUUCCAUAUGGUGCAGUUGAGAUCCGAAGUGCUAAGACAGCUAACAAAUUUGUGGUGAAUGGACACCGUCUCAUAUAUUAUUACGAAAGAUUUUCGGAUAGAGAGGUGGAGACAAUAAGGCUUGACGCACCACCGUGUCCUAAUCAGUGACACUUUACCAUGUCUAGCCAAAAACAUUAAAGAAAGGCGCUCAUUGGGAGGCAACCCAAUUGUUCUUUUUAGUUCGUUGUUCAAUUUCGUGUAGUAGUUUAGAAGUGUUCUCCUGGUUGUUCGACUGAUUUUGGGGUUUCAGUUUUCGUUUUUGCUGAUUUAUAGGUGCUCUUGCCCUCAUGACGUGCCCGCGUGGUGAUGUGCAGGACGCUCACGAUCAGGAACUUCUGAAACUUCUGGGAGCUCUCUUGCCCUCUUGACGUGCCCGCGUCACGUUCGCGGGAAAGGUAAGGAUUCAAAAAAAAAAUAGAAAAAAUUAUUAUUAUUAUUUCAUUUAUUCAAAUAAUAACAAAAAUAAAAAAAAGGAAAAAAAAUCAAGAGCAAGAAAAAUUUUUUCCUCUUAACCGUAGCAAUUUCUUUUAUUUCAAAAAGAAAGAAAAAAAAAACACACACACACGAGAGUUCCUUUCUUUUUCUUUCUUCUUUUCCCUUUCUUCUUCUUUCUUUCUUUCUCUUUUCUUUCUUUCUCCCCUGCUGCUCCCCUGCUCUCUGCGCACGCCACAGCCAAAUCCAUUUAUCGCCAUUGCCGCCGCGCGCUCGACCAGCCCAAGCCGCCGCCAUCGUUGCUAGAGUCGCGCGCCGCUGCUGCUCUGCGCGCCUCUCGCCAUCGCCACCUGCCAGCAAGUCUGCCCGCGCGCCGCCGCCAGUCAGCAGAUCUCUCUCCCCAUCGCCGUCCGCGAUCUACCACUGUUGCCACCACAGGUCAACCCGCCACAGCGCUGCCGCUGCUGUAGUUCCGGCGCAGCCACCACCAGCCGCCGAGCGACCCACUGAGCGAGUCGACGCCCGCGACCCCAGCGCGCCACCAAGCCGCGGCCCAUCCUCUGCGCCGCCGCUGCCAAAGUUCCAUCGUCGCCCACGCGACUCCCACCGCACUUGGCAACGAGCCCACGGGCACGCGCAGCAACCUCUGUCCGGCAACCGUGCUCUGCACAUGGACACCACCAGCUGCACCUCCGCCUCUCUGUCUGCCGCCUGGAGUAGUCCCAGUGGAGCUAACUGUGGGAGAAAUGGUCCGACCAAAGUCAUCAUCUAGGUCUAGGGCCUCUCGUUCUCAGCCCCCUCCACAGGCCUCUAUUCCAGUCAACUCACCUACCAACCUACCCUCCUCUUCUAGUGUUCGAACCCGUUUGGGUAGGGGUAGGGGUAGGGGUGCGCAGGUAGAUACCCCAGUUCACUUUGGGGGGCACCUAAACUUCACUAGACCCGCCGAUCAGGAGCGAUAUGCUAAGGUCUGCGAGCGGCGGAUUACACCAAGCAAGACUUGGGAAAAAUUAACCGUCAUGGGUCUAGGCAUACGAGAGGAGGUCGAGCAGAUGUUUACAGCUAUCGGGUGGCGCUCAUAUCUCGAUAUCUUAUGCCCCGCCUUUGUCGAGCUGACUCGGGAGUUUUACUCCACCUUUGAGUUCGAGUUACCUACGAGAUACACCGUUGACACACCACAGGUCAUUCAUUUCCGGCUCAUGGGUCGAGAGUUCAAUUUCUCCAUUACCCAAUUCAAUCGGGCAUUUGGGUUUAUCACUAGAGAGUAUGCUAGGACUAGGGAGUAUGCAGAGAGUGCUUGUGACUACGUUGAGCCGUUCCUCUCUCACUACCAUGAUGUGUGGGAAGACAUGUCCGUCGAUCAGCAGCGCUACGAUCCUUCCCGGUCUAGGAGCUCCUUUCUUAAGGACCCUAGUGCCCGCUAUGUUCAGCGUUUCUUAACCUACAGCUACUCGGGGCGCAAGGACAGCUCUGGCAUACUCUCUCGCCCUGAGUUCUUCUUCCUCUGGAGUAUGAUGAACAAUAUCAAGGUUAAUUUGGGGUGUUGGUUGGCCGCACAGUUCAAGACCGUCUUGGCCAAAAAGAACAAACCCCUUAUCCUUGGGUCCUAUAUCACUCACUUGGCGAUACAGUUGGGGGUUCUUAACCUGGAGGACCACGACCUGCAUUUGGCGUGCGAGAUGGAGCUCUUGGACGUAGACUGCUUGGAGAGGAUGGGAGUCAUUGAGCGCCUGACUGAUGGUUCCUACCAGUUCACCCCCCGGGACCACUUAGAGCUCCGGGUGCGCAUCAUUCGUCCCGGGCAGGGCCCUCCUCCUUUCCUGGAUCAGCCGAGAACACAGUUGGGCCAUCUUCUUCUACGCCACCUCCACCGCAUGGGACUACUGAAUGGCAGCAACUCCGGGAGCAGGUUCAGACUUUGCAGGCUCGGAUGAUCAACGUUGACGCCAAUGUCGCCGGCAUAGCCCAGAAUUUGGCGCAGUUUCUGAUGCAUACAGGCUUUGCACCCCCGUUUCCACCUCGCCCUCCGCUAUGACCCGAUUUCAGGGAAGUUUGGCUGAUCCCCCUGACACUUUUGCUUCAAUUUUGGUUUUUAUUUGUCACAUUGAGGACAAUGUGUCCUAUAGAUGUGGGGGGAGGAUCUAAGGGGGUGGGUGCUAGUGUUUUCCGUUUUUAGUAAAAAAAAAAUAAAAAUAAAAAAAAAAGAAAAAACAUGUAAGUUUCUAGUUCUUAGUAGUUUCUCUUAGUUUUAUUUCCAGUUGCUCGUUUUCGUUCUUUCUUCUUGGUGCUUACCUCUCAUGUGAAUGUUAAAAUUGAUGUGGAAUUAUUGACUCCAAGUCUACUUUUGCCAAGUUUUUUAAAAUACAAAGGUAUCGGGUUGAUGUGGUUGGAUCCGAGAUAUCUCCUUGGUGAAUAUCGGAUUGAUUGGCUCUUUUGAUUUCUGUGUUAACUUUUCUAGACGUUGGGAAUGACUGUUGGCAUUUUAAUGUGAACUGGUCCAAUAUUGACUCCAGUUCUCUAUGUUUGGCAAUAAUGAGGCGAGCUGUUCCUAUUUUUGGCUCUUAGUGUUGUUAUUAUGUGUUUUUGGCUUUGUUUGGCUGUGAAUAAUCUGGACUGUACUCCGCUAUGAGUUACUACUGAGUAGCCAGGGAUCGGCACCUCAAAGUGUCGAUUAUCGCGUCAAAAGGUGGUACUUUAUAUGAGUAUGUGGUCGUAUAGCGGUAGGAGCUGAGUAACCGGGCUCCUUCAUCUAAAAGUGUGGGAGUUCGCGUCAAAAGGCCCCAACGGCUAACGAUUAAGUUUUUUUGUGUUAAGUAUUAAUUGUUGUCAAAAAAAAAAAGAGAGAGAAUAAAUAAUGGGAAGGCUUGCCGAUUUAUGGACUUAAUAUGGAGAGUUGUGUGAAUAUUUGGACCAUUAGCUGAUAAAUGUUGUGCGCCAUUCCUUUUUCUUAGAGUAGUUAACCUGGAAAUUGAAGGAAUUUGCAGUUUAGGGGCUAACCGGGGGGGAGGCUUCUUGGAUUUUAAUCACCGAUGCUCGAUAUAUGUUUUUCUCUUGAAUAUCUUGGCAAUAUAGGAGAUUGGGCAAUGGCCAUCAUCGAAUUUUGGUGUUCGUUUACUAUUCUUAUGCUUGAGGACAAGCAUGGUUUAGGUGUGGGGGGAAUUGAUAUGUUGCAAUUUAUUCAUUUAUUUUAUUAUUAAUUCCUCCUAUUACCUGACUUGAUGUGGAUUUAUUUGCUGGAUUCUACUCAUUUUUAGUAUUUGACGUUUAUUUCAGGGAGUAGAAUAUAAAUAUGAUAACAGGUGUCAAAUUGGCAGAAAAAGAAUUCAGAUGAUUAAGCUUGUCCCAGAGGCACUUUUGGAACAGAAGAUGUCACGCCCAUUUUGGUAAUUUUCGCAAAGGAACGACGGACGGAGGGCUUCUCUUCCUGUUGAUGUGCGCCGCAAUUAAAGAAAGAGAAGGAGGAGGAAGUUGGAUAGUUUUUUUUUCCUUAGUUCUGGCCGGCUGAAGCUUAGGAGGAAAGCUUGACUUUGGUCUUCCCUGGGACUUACUUUUGAGCUUUAGAAAACUAGAGAAAAAGCAUUUGUUAGCUUUGAGCUUUGACUUUUCUUCUUUUAUUUUGAAUCCUGCGCAUGGCUGGAACAAGAGGGAAUUACUUCCUUUGACCCUUCUUUAGCUUAUUGUAGCUUCUGGUCUCCACGCAUGUUAGGAGCAAAAAGUUGGAGCCCACCUUCUUUAACUUUUCCACCUUGUUUCUCUUGAGUGGCCCUGCCCCACGGAUGCUAGCAACAAUAAAGAAACUCAAUUGUCACUUGUAAUUGUCGCGUGCCUUAUAAGUGUUCGACGAAUUGCGGAUUCCUAAGAUGCAGACUAAGGCCGUGACUCUGGCUGAAAUUUCCUGCGGGCUUAGUUCAACCAAUAUGAGCUAAUCCCCUCAUUCUAGUCAAGAAACGACGGAUGCUUUGAUUCGCCUAAAAAUUGUGAGAUCGAUUUAAUUUAAUCUUUCCCUUUUAUUUAUUGGUAUUCGUGUAUUCCUUGUUUGCUACGCUUAUGGUUAUUCAAUUAAUUGAUUGUCAUGGAUCCGGAUAAUUAAUUGAUCUGAUAGCCUAUUGUCAACUAGGACAUUUAAAUCCGUAAUUGUUUGAUUGUCCUGAAUUAGUGACGACUGGCACGAUUAGCUUCGUGUCAGGGGAAUACACGGGCUAACUUAAAAUAACCAUGGUAGUGUGUUAUUUGGUUAGAAUAGGGCUCUUCUAAUACGUAAGGCAGUUGGGAAAUUAAAUCUUACGGGCGUACCUAGGAUUAUUCCCCAAUUAGAGCAGUGAUUAACGGGCGUACCUUGAUCACCGACACAGUAAGGAGGGGUUGACUGCCAUCGCUUGCUUGGUAGUUAUAACCUAUUUAUUGAUAAGUAAUUGGGAUUGCCUUUGUUUCGAUGAUCAAUUAGGUGAACCAUUGCUGAAGUUAUUUCUUGGCUAGAUCUUUAAUUAAUAUUAUCUUGAUUGUAGUGAAUUGCCAUUCGGCUUUUGGUUGUCUACGUUAUUUCCUUUUUAAUUGUUUCCUUGUUUUAAUUGAUUUAGGCCUUUAAUUCUUGUUAUCCUGAGUUCAGUAAAUUGUGGUUUAAUUUCUAAUUAGUUGUUUAUUUUUAUUUUCUCAUUGGAAUUUUAGUUAAUUAUCGUCGUUCCUACAAAAUCAUCCCCUGUGUUACUUUGGAUUUCUUAAGAAACAAAUAUACCCAGUCUCUGUGGAUACGACCCUACUUGCCCUGUCUACAAAUUCAUAAUUAUUUGUGAAAAGGAAUAACCAUUCCAUUCGGGUAUAUCGGAUCAAGCAAAUUCUUCGGGAAUAGGGUGAAUCAAGUAACCCAUUGCACACCUAGAGUCCCUGCUCCAGUACUUGGAAUUGGGUUUUGGUCAUUUUAACUGGCAAUUAGGUUUAACUUUAUUAUUGCACAGGUUUCGACAACCUGUCAAUAUAUGACUAUCAUUUUUUGAUGUAUAAAAUGUACAAACAAAUAUUUCUUGUUUAAAGUCUUCGUUUAAAUAGAAUUAAUAUUCUUAUGGAAGAAAUAGCAAGAGAAGUCAGACAUUCAAAUUAGAUAGAAGUGUAUAACGUGAACAAGCAUAUUGAUUAUAACAUAUUUGUGUUGGAAAUUUUGCCUUAAAUUUAAGUGUUCUUCAUGCAUUUUUCCUAAGCUUAAUUAAUACAUUCAUUCCCUUUUAGAUUCAUUCUUGUAUUCAUGUACCUCUUGGAUUCAUUCCCUUUUAGAUUCAUUCUUAGAUUCAUGUUCCUCUUAGAAUUUACUAGUUCUUUCAUAUAACUUCUAAAUUCAUGUACUUUGUAAUAAUGAUGGUACAUGCAUCUCUAUUCUUGUGUUCCUAUAAAUAGAGGAUUUGGAUUUUCAAUGUAAAAGUAAAUUCUAUUUUUAUUCCUCCUUCUUACAUGUAUUUUUAUUCUUUUCGGAUCACACUUUGGUUCCAAGUAAUCCAUUACAAGGUCAAAACCUUGAUUUGUGAAUACACGCGAUCGAUGCUAGUCGUUGUUCUAUCUUGGAAAGUGACCACUUAGUGACCCAUAUUGCACCAUGGACAUAUUCCUGUGGGAGUAAGAUCACUUUUACGGGCAAUAGGGUAUCCUACAUUUUGAUUUUCCUUCUAGUCGUCAAUUACUCUAUUUCUUUGAAUUCUUUUCCUAAAUCAGAGUACUUGCAUUCUAACAAUUUGAAUCUUAUGAAGUUCCACAUUUUACAUAGUGAUUUUGCAGAGUGCCCUAUAUAUAGGACCACAAGGUCAAUACUAUAAACAAAGCCAAAUAGAUGUGAACAAAAGGUCAUGGAAUAAGUGACCACGUUAAGGAACAUGUAUCUGCCACCAAGUGGUUCCGGCAAUAGCAUUCUAGGUGGAAGGUCACCUGCUUUUGAUGGAGAAAUCAACUCACAAGUAAACCAAACCCCACCAUCAUAUCCACCACCUAAAUUUACUCCUACUAGAAGUUAUUAGUGUGAAUUAAUUAAUACUUUGUUUUUUCCUAAUUUCUUUUUAUUGAAAAAAAAAAUUAAACAUGGUUAACUCUUAUUUGUCCUUUCGAUUACAUUCAUGGAUCAUAUGAUAUGAGAUUAUUGACUUGUACAAUGCCUUGUUUGUUUUUAAACCAACAACUCCGUAGUUGUGGGUUGAACCAAUACUUAAACUUGUGGACCAUAAUUGAAAUGCUUGUCCUUUUUUUCUGAAAUUCAUCGAUCACAUGAUAUGAUGAUUUGUCUGUUUUUUAUCGACAGUUUUAUAGUUUUGAGUUGAUUUAACGCUUAAACUUGAGAUGACUGACUUUUGUGGAUUGAUUUAACAUUUAAAUUUGGAAGCCAUAUAACAUGAGAUAAUCAAACCAGUAACAUUAUGGUACUGAAUUGAACUUGUGCACAUGGCAAGAGGACUUGUCUCAUUAAAAGUCACAUCCUGUUAUUCAUAAAACAUAUUCUUGAUCUCAAGUAAAAGGAAGAAUUCUUUAAUAACAAUGAUGGCAAUGGGAAACUUUUUAAAUCAUGACCUAUUAUUACAAGUAAAGGAGCUGCUUUAGAAAUAGGAAACAAUCCCAAAUGAAAAAUCCACCUACAUAAGCUACUGCUUUAUCUACACCUUCAUUUCAAGGUUUCUAGAACCUUUUCCUCACAAGACUAAAAAUAUCUUUCUUUUCAGUUUCCAUGAUUGCUGUGUACUGGUGGGGACAAAGACAGACAUUGACAGAUAAUGACUGUAACCUUUUAUUUCUUCUCAAUUUUUGUUAUAGUUUGUAAUAUACUUUCUGAUGCAUUUGAAGAUUUGCCCCACUUAUUUUGACCUCCAGUGCCUUGCCAUUUCAAAGCCAUUCUUGGCAUAAUGAUAAUCCUCUUCAGUUUGAUCAAUUUCAGCCUGUGUAUUCAUGACAAAGGGACCGUAUUGAACUACUGGUUCAUUCAGUGGCUGCCCUCCUAUUAGAACAAAUCUCAGUGGCCUGGAAGACCUGUUCCAUACACUGAGGCCUUCUCCAGGACCCAAAAGCAAAGCAUGGUGAGCAGCAACAGGUGAUGAAUUCGGUAUUCCAAACACCCCUUCUCCAUCAAUUGUGUACACAAAAGCAUUCCAGGAUUCUGGGAUGCUUUGAUGAUAUUGAGCUCUUGGUUUCAGAGUGAAAUCCAAGUACAUUGUUGGGGUUCGCGUAUAAACCGGAGAAUGGACUCCCAUUGAUUCUCCUGCUAGUACUUUAACUUCAACUCCAUCUUCCUCUGCCCUUGGAAUGUCCUCAUCCAGCAAUUCUUGAUACCUUGGCUCAAUCCUGCAAUGAGUACGGAGGGCGAUUUUAUUAGAGGAAAGUAGCAAUAAGUCAAUAUUUACGGACUAAUGAUGUACUACUGUUGACAGUGCAUUAGGCACCAGUACCAUCCUUACUAAAAAAGAUUCUGAAAUCAUUAGGCACUUAUCUGAACCUUAGUGGAUCAAAUAGAAGGGCUUAUUGAUCAACACCAAUUCGCAGAAAGUAGCCUUCUAGAACACCGUGUUUAAACAUGACUUUCUAAAAUUAAUGGAGUAAUGUCACAAUCCACAAAUAGCCUGCUAAAUGCUAAAAUUCGAUGUCUUAAUCAGAAAGGUAAUCUACAUAUAUUCUGUGCGGUACAUGUGUCUGGAAUCAGGUCAAAAUGGACUAGAAAACGGACAUGCCUGGUAACUUACAUUUUGUCCUUGGAAGCAAGAUUGAUCCAAAGCUGCAGGCCUGUCUGUGUACCUCCUGCUGCAGGCAUUUCCGAAUGAAUUAUGCCUCUUCCUGCAGUCAUCCACUGCACAAAACCCCACAUAGGAAUUGCUUACUACUGAAUUUUUUCAUUAGUUCUUGAAUUAGCAGUACAAUAAUUCAGUGAAAAAGUUGUAAGAAAGGUAUGAAAAUUUACCUGCACAUCACCGGUGCGGAUUGUGCCCUUGUGACCAGCAAAAUCUUGGUGUGUAAAAGCUCCCUAAAGAAAACAAGGCCAAAUUUCCGGUCAUACAUAAAUUCUGGUAAUCUAGGACAGAAUUUCAGGUACAAAAAGUCGGUCUCUUUACCUGCAACAUGUAUGUAACAGUCUCAAAACCUGCACAAUAUCAGGGAGCAGAAAGUAAGAUAACUGAUCAAAUCCAACGUAUGGAAAACAGAAUCAGGUAAUUUGAUUGAAACAGAGUUGAAUGUAUGUGUCAUGAACCUCUGUGCGGGUGAUCCGGGAAUCCAGCAGGGGGUGAAACUGCAAGAACACAUUGAAUCAACAAUCAAAGACCAAAUUAAGCAACAUUUUGCUUUUGGGCAAAAAUUAAGCAGCACUGAAACUGAUAAAACAGUGUGAAACGCAUCAUACAUCAAAAUAUAAAGAAUGCGUUACCAAAUUCAGCACAAAUUCAAGAAUUCUGUAAAAGUUCUAUCCAAAGAAUCAUGAAGAAAACCAUAUGCAGAGUUUUAUUUCAGAAACACCAUAAUCAAGAACACUAGGAUUUUAGUAAAUUGUACCUGCAAAUUCAUCCAACAUGAGGAAAGGAUCAAUAUACUUCAGUUCGGACCUGUCCAUCCAUUCAACCAAACAAAAUUCAGAGAUAAUCAGAACCCAUGUCACCAAAUGUUCCAAAAACGCUCAAAAUCAAAUGAAUUUCAGAAAACAAGAAUGCAAGAAUUUACGAAACCACGUUCCCGGAUGCAAUGCCUACGUAUUACUACAACAUAAUUUCAUUAAACAAACCAAAAAAACCCACAAAAAAAAGAAGAAAUUACCUGCCAAUGCUCCUUCUAACAACAGCACCAUCUCCUUCACUCUGUGGCUUAGCCAAGACUUUCUUGACAACAAGUCUUGGACUAUCAAAACCAGAGCUUUGAUCUGACGACGUAGACAUGGUUAUUCCUCUGAUAAAACUGUAAACUCCCUUGUUGUUUCUUGUAUUUGCAAUUCUUGUUGGAUGCAAAUUCACUAGAAAUUGUCUAGACAAAGCUCUCAUGUAAUAUUUGCUUGUGCUUGAUUUUCCAACUCUUGCUCUUCUUGUCUAUAUAUAUAUAUAUAUGGACACGCCGAACAAGAAAAGAUGGCCGUGGUGUUCCCGUAUAAUUUUAGUGUGUGAGUGUGUGUAUUUUAUAACGACUUUGGGGAUGCGGGAAGCCAGGAAGGCUGGGGUUGGUUAGGAAUCUAAAGGGGGCGUGGGGAAAAUUGGAAAUGGGGUCCACUUCUUCCUCUUUGGACCAAUGAUUUGAUGACAUCAUACUCAUGUCACCAUGAUGGUGGACUACUAGCCUGAGCCGUUGGCCCAAAAAAAAAAAGAAGAUUUACUCAAAGUAAAAACAUAAUUUAAAAUAUGAAAAUAUGGGUCUAUUUCUGACCCCCGAAGGAAGCUUUAUUAGGAUUUGAAUCUAUUCCAAAAGUUUUUCCUUUUGGGCAAAAUUUUUUUUAGCUAAAUGAUAUAUUAACUGAUUGAAUAACAUUUACUUGUUGGGGGUGAAGAUGUAAAAAUCUUUUUUUUUGGGGGUAAAGGUAAAGUAUGCUUCUGUAAAUGGGGAAGUGGAUUAAUUUAAAAUUUUAGGGUAUUUUACGUGACAGCAUGGCAAGACUUCAUUGAAAAAUUAACCAAAGAAAAAAAAAUAAUAAACUUUGGCAAUCAGCCAAAAAAAAUUUUGAGGUCAAUUUAAUAAAGUGUUUGACUUUUGGGGGGAAAAAUGAAAAAAGAAAGAUGAUGAACUAAAAGCCAAAGGGAUGGUUGAAAUUAGCUACAAGUGGAUAACUAAUAUUUAGCCCAUGCAUUAGAACUGAUUUUUUUAAUUAUAAUUAGUUAUGUAUCGAUGCAAAACAUAAAUAAUUCAUCAACAAUGUUUAUACAUAUUAUUCACGUUUGUAUUAGAAAAAUAUUGUAUUUCAAACAUAACUACCAUAUUAGCCUUUACAAACUUUUAUACAUAAAUUUAUUAGAAUGUGAUAAUAUUCAUUAAAUAAUAUAAUACAUAAAAAAGUAAUAGGUAUUCUUUGAGAUAGUAAUUAAAUUUUGGGAUAAUUUCAGAAACCUCCCCUGAGGUUUCUGACAUUUACACUCACCUCCCCUGUGGUUUGAACAAUUACACUAACCUCCCCUGAGGUUACUAAUCCUUUACAAAUUCAGUCCAAAUGAUUAAAAUAUUGUUUUAUAGAGUGAAAUUAGAAUUUUGUACCUGAUUUGCCCUUUGUGCUACAUGUCCAAUGAAUGACAAAGUAUUAAAAAUUAAUUAAAAAUUAAUAAAUUUUAAAGAGCGUAGUUUAUAGGCAAAUACGUAUUACUUAUUUAAAGUACCACCUCUUUACGGGUAUUUUACUUUCAAACAUUUACUUUAUUACAAAUAUUUAUUCUCAAAUACAGAUUUGUAUUUAUUCUCAAAUAUUUAAUUUUUGUUAAAUAAAAAACCUACCAGUUUUUCUUUCGUAGAAAUAUUAAUAUAACACUUUUUCAAUUUUAGUUAUAAAUAUUUAUGUAUUUAGCAUAAAUUAAAUGAUUCAGGAUAAAAUACUCAUAAAGAGCUAAUACUUUACUCAUGUAAUGGAUGAAAACCAUAAAAAAUUAAUACUUUAUGGGCCAUUUCUUUUUUUAAAAAAUAUUUAAUUUAUAUUAAAUAGAUAACCUACUGAUUUUCUUUUUACGAGAAUAUUACUGUAACACUUUUUAAUUUUUAAUCACAAAUGUUAAUAUAUUUGUAAUAAAGUAAAUAUUUGAAAGUAAAAUACCUGUAAAGAACUGGUACUUUAAAUAAGUAAUACAUAUUUGCCUAUAAACUACGCUCCUUAAAGUUUAUUAAUUAUUAAUUAAUUUGUAAUACUUUGUCAUUCAUUGGACACGUAGCACAAAGGGCAAAUCAGGUACAAAAUUUUAAUUUCACUCUAUAAAACAAUAUUUUAAUCAUUUGGACUGAAUUUGUAAAGGAUUAGUAACCUCAGGGGAGGUUAGUGUAAUUGUUCAAACCACAGGGGAUGUGAGUGUAAAUGUCAGGAACCUCAGGGGAGGUUUCUGAAAUUAUCCCUUAAAUUUUCUCAUGAAAAUAAUUAUACACCUAUUUAUAUUCAUUUUUAGUUCAGGACCAAAAAAAAAGGCAGCAAUCUAUUUUUAUAUGAAUGGUUUUUUAAUUUGAACCAACGUUAAUAAAUUUAACAAUGUAACAAUUAAAUUUACACUAAGAAAAGUUACUGAUAUGGAUAAAAAGUAAAAAUUGAUUAAAUGCGAUAGAUGUUGCUAGAAUGGAGAGAAAUUAUAAGCGAAAUUGAUUAGAGGAGAUUUAGAUGCAAAAAUAGGUAAAAUCUAAGUAUUCAUUCGUCGAUUAAUUCUUUUCAAUUAAGCACAUCACCUAGGAUAGAGAAAAUGAUUAAUUGAAGUGAGAACUUUCAUGAGUCUAGCCUCUAGGUAGGGUUUAAGUUCAGAUCUAUAUCAUGACAUGAAUCAAGCAAAAUUAGAUCCUAUCCAAACCCAUGAUUUUGGUAAAGGAUCUGAAUCUAGGUAGAGUUUACGUUGAAAAGUUGGAUCUAAAUUCAAGAAAAACACAAUAGACCUGAGUUGCGAUUGGUAAUACUCUACCCAUUUUCAUGCUUACUAGUAUUAGCUAUUGAUAUGUACAUUGAUGUUUUAGAACAACUACCCUUUCUAAUCGAAUACAACUACUAAUCAAACAAAUACCACUAUUUGUCUUUUUGUGUUUGUUUUUUAUCUUGAUUUUGCCAACUAACAAGUUCCGAAGAAAAGAUCUGGUCUUCCUGUGUGCUGUCCAUGUUUAGACGUAAUUGACAAGAAUUUUGAAAAGGUUGGAAGAUAAGAAAGAGUCCAAAUUGAGUUUCUCAAAAAAAAUUUUGAACCUACAAACUUUUUUAAAUAAAUUUAUUUAAGAAAAUCUCAUGAGAUCUUGAGGGUAAAAUUGUGAAUGGUUAUGCAUUAACCCCAAUUUAUUAAAAUGAAGUAGAAGAAGUUACAAGAAGAGGAGAGCGAGGAAAAACCUAGCACCCAUAAAAAUCAAUUACAAUAUUGAUAUCAAAAAAAAAAAAAAAACCGCCCUUUAUUAAAGGAGGUAUAUUAGAUUUUUGAACUACAAAUAUAUUGUGUCAAAUUACUCUCUCAUCAUACCCAUUAUUUCAUGGUUAAUUUGUUAUAGGAAUGUUGACAAUAUGGGAAAAUAAUGCUGAAUUUGAAAGUUUUGUUGACUUGCUACAUUAUUUCUUCUUUUCACAUCUGUUUUUUGAAGUGUCAAAAUGACUAUUAUGUAGACUUUAAAGAAGAGAGGACAAAAUGUUAAAAUUGAUAAGGGAAAAAGAAGUGUGAUUGUAAAGAGAAUAAUAAAAAUUUUGUAAUUAUGAUAAAAAUCGAGGAAAUAUGGUGAUUUAUUCAAAUUACGAUAAUGUAGUGGACCUGUAUUGAAAAAGUUCGGAAUUGAAUCAUGCACGCCUCGAAUCUUUGAAAUUGAAGGACUCUGUUAGUAUUCUUUCUUUUUGGUAGCAGCACAUAUCAGCGAUCCUCCAAUAAAAGUAGAAUUAUGAAGAUUGAAUAUGAUUUGAAUAACAAAUAUCACAAAUUUGCCCUAUUUAUCCAACGUGUGAUCAAUGUCACAUAUUUACAAGGUAACAAGUGUUUUUUUUUUUUUUGGCAUUUUAGAAACAUAAGGUUAAAUUGAUAAAGACUCAAAGAAGCGAGAGAAAUACAUGAGUGUUUUUGUUUAGAUAGUAAAUUAUGUUGGUACAUAUUAUAAAUUACCGAUUAUCGAUUGGACACCUAUAAAUUAAAAUCAUCUUAAAUAUGAAUGAUAUGAAUUAUAAUUACUCUUACACAUUUUUAAAUAUUCUGGUUAAUCUCUAAUAAAUGGCCUAUAUGAGAUCAUAUACGUCAUCCAACAAUCAUCAAUACCAUCAUUUUCACACUUUGGAAUAUGCUACUUAUACAUAUCCACGCCAGAAUAAUAGAACACCCGUAUGGGUUCUGAUGUAAGGUUUAUGUCCCUAUAACGUCAAUGGCUGUUCUUCCUCUGUACUACCUUAUUUGUGCUGUUUUUCCAUCUGUGAAUCAACUAAUCUGAUUAUUGAAAACGAAGUCAAUUGUAUGAGAAUCACGUAAAGAAUUUCAGCAAAAUUUUGUCAUACUUUCCAGCUUGCAAAAUGGGUCCUCGGGAAUACAACAGUUUCCACUUGAAAAGAAAACAGAAAAGUUUUCUUGGUCUCAGAUAAGGAUCGAAAGGAAAAAAAGGUGCAGAUUAGUUUAGUGUCAUUAUCUCAUUUAUGGUAAUGUUUUGGAUUAACAGGGUUUGAUUCUUUUUGAAACCAAUUUUCAAGUUAAAAUUUUGCUUAAUAACUGAAUAAUUAGUAGCCUUAAGCUACUGCUACAGACUAAUUAUCAACUGAAAUUGUGCGCUUCAACUGUUUUUUUUUUUUUUUUUUUUUUUGCUACAAGAAGAAAAUACAUGAUAGCCUUGCAUUUGGAAAUUCUAGGGUUAAUGUCCACAAUGUAUUAUUGUUAAAAAUGCAUUUAUUUCAGGGGUUAACAUUCCACUUGUUGAUUGUGGCAUAGAAAGGUAAAAACAAAAAAUGAAUAUAUUCAUACUUUUUUAGUAGCUAUCACAAAUCCUCUAGAGUACAAAUCACCAAUCCACUAUUUAUUCGGGUUAAUUUGCAAAGUGGAAUCGUCACCUAUUUAUCCUUAUUUUAUUUAACUGUGCUUGUAUGUAUCCGGCUUGUCUUUCUCCUGCAACAGAAAUGGAUCUUUGGCAGAAAUUAAAUGCAUGCGCACCUUCCAAGCAUCAACAUGGAAAAAUGAGUCAUGCCAACUAUACCAUGUUGUCAUUGUUGAGUGUUAGAAUUUGGAGGCAUAUGUCAUUUUUUUUUUUUAUUGGAAACCGGAUCAAAUCAGAACUUUGGAAUCUCUUGUUUUUGGCAAAAAAAAAAAAAAAAUUGCAAUUUUAGUUCCCAAAGUUUGGAGAGGAGCUAUUCUAGUUCUCAAAGUUAUCAAAACUUACUCCACAUGAUGAUUCUCUACUUUUGACUUAGCAAAUAUAAUGAAAUUUACUCCUUUUCCAAAAUCAACCUACAUGAAGGAAUAACAUAAACUCUUACUCAUAGAGGGAUUUAUAAUUAUUCUUCUAUCUGUUAAUUAUAGAUCUAUUAUUUUUAGUGUAUGUUUAUCUCCUAUCAUUAGUGCAGAUUUUUAUAAUAUAUAAAUAAAAAAAGAUCGUAUUGGACGAUUUCUAAUAAUUUUGUUAAUGAAAUUCACUUUUAUCCCAAAAAAAAAUUCUCAUUUUGAUUCUUAUUUAGAUUCCACAAUGAAAGGCAAAACAACUUCUGAAAUGACAUAAAUCAUACAUAAGCAUUGCGCUAUAAAUCACACCUAGGCAUUGCGUGUGCCAAAUUGGACCGACAAUGAAAUGAAAGCCGGCCGCCGACAUUAUUGGAAAUUUCUAAAGGAAGUGAAUUUGCAUGAUUCGUGCAUGCACCUCAUGCAACUUUUACGCUUUUUCCACUCUUCUUCCCCUCUUUCCUCUUUUCAGCCAUAUCUAAAUAGAGUAUUAUAUAUACAUAUUCAAUUAGAUCCAUCUUUCAAACAUAUCUAAAAUGAGGAUUAUAUGUUUGGAUCGAGUCUUUUACAAAAUAGUAUAAUUUAUGUGCUUUUAUACCAGUCUAGUAAUCACAAACUAUAUACAGAUUCAACUCCAUCUUAGAGAAAUUGCUAAUUUGACUAUUUAUAGUUGGACAAUCCAAUUUUUGGAGCAAACUUUUACAUUUUUUCAGUGAUCUCCUUUGAAAAUUUCCAUGUUACAUACAGAUCAGAAUAUAAAAAAGAAAAAAUGCAGCACUGAAUACCAAAAAAAUUUUUAAAAAAAAAUUCUAUUUGAGCUGAAAGAAAGUCAUAUGAAAAUAUAGAGAAAUUAAAAGACAACUACAUUUUUCAAUUGGAAAGUGGACUACAAUUUAGGACAGACGAAAAAAGAAAACAUGACUAUCAAAGUGGGACAGAGUGAGUAUUAUCUUGAGAUCAUUAAAUUCUACCUAGAAAAAUGGAAUGCUAUCAUAUUAAACCAAAACCAACGAUAGAUUAAUACAUAAGUUCCUGCGAAAGUUAAAUUUCAGUGAUUUACUCGUUUCGAGUAGCGAUUUUUUAAUUUGGCAUUAUUUUUUUGGUAAAUAAUACGGAUCAUUUAUUUUAAUAACAUUUAAGUUGUUAUUUCACCAAACUAUUGUGGAAUUUUUAAUAAACUUGGAAUGCUUGUCAGCCUAUCUAGUUGAAGUCCUUCUUUUUAAUUAAUAUAUAUUUAAAUCUGUAGUAAGACAAAUCCCUUCUUGUGUGCUCAUUUGUCGCCAUCAUACUGAUGGGAUAGUUGCAAUUGAAUUGCUAUAUUAAUUGGUCGUAUCACAGCCUGGAUUGUUGGUCAACCUCUGUAUCUGCCUUUAUUAUUGGUUCGUCUAUGUCUGCUUUCAAUAGCUGUCAUAUUUUCAAAUAACAAUAUAGAUUUUACGUAUUCAAUUAGAAUAGAUUUUCAGUUCUAGAGUUGAUUAAUGUUGUCUUUGGUCAAAAAAAGGAAAAUAAAAAUUCUGCAGUCAAUAGCCAUCAUAUUUUUUUUAAAAAUAAAAUUAUGCGUAUAAAAUUCAAUUAGUACAGAUUUGCUGCUCUUUAAGUUCUUGGAUGUUUAUGCCUCAUUCGUUUAGCUUCAAAUGCAUACGUUACUAAGUCCGAAUCAUUAGCCUCUCAUAUUUGUUUGGGUUAUUCUUAAAAAAUUUGGUGUGUGCUAUACAUUAGAAAUAAAUAGUCAACUUUGUCGCCAUGAACCAUGCGUUUUGUUUGGUUUUUUAUAAUCUUAUUUAGUUUAUCGUCUUACUUACUUGAUUAAAGAAAUGGAUAAUAAAGUAAUGAUUUAAUUAACAUUUUGAUUUACUUUGUAUUAGCUAUAAGUAUAGGUAAUAAGUGAUUUUCCCUUUAAUGUCACAUUAAACGCACUAGAUUACAAAUUCUUUGUAUCUUAAGUUUGAUUAGCAUAACAAAACCAAAAGAAGAGUGAUAAUUGUUAAUAUUCAUGUGCGAAAAUGAUUAGUAUAUUAUGUAUAUUUUUAUAUGGUCCAAAGAGGGAUUUCAAGUCUUAUAAAAGGGACAUAGGAAAGGGUUUCAAAUGCUAGCAAGACAUUUUAGUAAUAAAACUGGUUUAUUUUUUCAGUUAAAACAACCAAAAGUAAAGUUUGAGCCACUUGAAGUAAUGAAUGUUGAUAUUGUGCUAAUAAAUCUAAUGACUUUAAUAUAAAAAGAUUAUGAAACAUCUUUUUGACGUAAAGAUACAACAUUAGGCAAAUGAUUUUGAAACUUUAAUAAAUGUUUGAGGCAUUAGACAUUUAUUCUUUGUUAAAUAACUUGUGAGAAGAAGUAAAACAUUAUUUUUGUCUACAUGUUUCAUAGACUUGGGAGAAAAAAUCUUUGUAGAAGAUGAACUUGGUAAAUAGGAUAUGAUAUUUUUCAUGUAGAAAAUAAUAUUACGAUUCCAAACUAUCAAUAUUUUUACUUUACCAGCUCAAACUAUUAAUUUCAAGUGCACUGCUCAAGUUAAGCUAAUGUCAAACAAGAAUAGAUGUAAUAAAAGUUUUAACCCUCAUAGAGAACUCCUCAAAGUACCUAUAUAUGUUUUCCAUUCCCCAUAUUUCCCUCAAAGAGUUCUUUUUUUUUUUUUGGUCUCACUCUUCUUGCUUCCAUCCUCCAAUGGCAAUCCAAUCUGGCCCCUCUUCUCCUGAUUUCUUUCUUCUUAUCCUCUUCUUGACUAACCUUAUCUCUUUUUUUUUUUUUUUUUUUUUUUUUAGCAAACCCCCACACACAUGUUGGAAAGGAACUCGAUUUUUUCCUGAGAACAUUGAAAAAAUCCAAAAUAGCAUUUGAACCCUUCUUAGGCCCUAUUUAGAAUUGUAGUGCUUUUGAUAAAAAAAAAAAGUACUUUUCGAUGUCAAAAGUACUUUUGAAAAAACACCAUCCCAUAAAAUUAAGAGUUGAACUUUUGAUGUUAAAAGCACUUUUAACAAAAACUCAAAUUUAGAACUUUUACAAUAGUUUUUGUGUUUUAAAAAAUAAAACAUUAAAUUUAAUCAUUUAUUAUUUUAAAGAAUGUGAUAGUUCAUAGUUCUCUCUACUUAAGUAAUAAAUCAUGCAAAUCUAGAUUCAUAUUAAGUUUCGUUGUUAACUUCCUUCUUUCCUUUUUUUUUUUUUUUUGUUUUGUUUUGUAAGGAUGUUCUUCUUUAGUAGUUGGUUUAAAGUGUUGAAAUUAUUUUUUUGAUAUAUGAUAUUGAACAUUAUUUUGCUACGAUGUGACAAAUUAAUGCUACAAUAUAGUAGCUUAUUGAAAAGGUCUGUUUGCAUGAAGUAACGAGUAGACUACUUGUUUGCUACCUUGUCAUUAAUUGUUCUAGAACUAUUCCCAAAUAUGUGUUUGAAGUAUAAUAUAGGAUAAGGUAAUCAUUCUUGAGACAUUGGUGGGUAAAAUAUGAGAAAAAUAAAGUAGAAUAUCUCUAAGUAAAGAUUCUCCACCUAUGAAGCUACAUUAUCAAUUACUACCUACUUACAGAACUACAAAAAAAAUAAUUGUUUAAACAAAUAUGUGUUCAAAGUAUAAUUAGGAUAGAGGUAAUAGUUAUACAAGCAAUAGUAGAUACAACAUGAGAGGGAAAAAACAUGAGAGAAAAAAAUUGAAGUAAAAUAUCUCUAUGUAAAGAGUCUCCACCUAAGAAGUUCCAAAACAACUAAGUCAUGAUGUUCCCAUCUUUCAUGAAGUUGGAAAUGAUCUAGCACUUUAGAUUUGUAUAAAUAUUUUUGAGGAUAAAUCUCUGUGCCUAGCUACAUGAUUGGAUCUGGGUAUUGGUAAAAUAGAUUCUUCCAUCGUUUCAUUGCGCUUUAAAUGGCAGCUUGAUUCUGGGCUGGACGAUAGGCAAAUAUUAAACACAUUAAAAGGAAUGAUGACUAAAAUUCUAGUCUAAACUUGAAAUUAGGCAAAAGUCCAUUUGGAUUCACCAAUUUAGAAAGAAUUUUUUGUAUUACUUAACAAAUAUGUUUUCAAUCACAUCUUUAUUAUAUCAAUCAAUUUUAAUCUCACAUAAAAUAUAUCACAAAAACAAAAAUGAUAUAGUAUCAUUUUUAAACAAAUUUAUCCAAAUAAAUUUCAUUCCAAACGCAGCUUUUUUUUGGACAAGGGAACUGUAACCGCUACCCGAGAGUACGUACUGAAUAAACCCGUCCCGUACAAUAACCCACUAACCACACAGAGGGAUGAAACACACUAGGGAAGCCCUAUGCGACGUGCAGAUGUUUCAAGAGAAAUUCGAACUCAGGUUGAUAGAAAUGCAUAACAUCAAUUCUACUAUUUCAACCAACUCAAGGGACAAGAAUAGAUUAGUGUUGAUACUUAAGUUAACCACUGAUGUCAAUAACUUUUAAUUUAGACACAUAAAAUGGGAGAAAUCGCAUUUAUAACUUAAUUAGUGGAACACUAAUCGGUGUUUAUGAGAUUCUUAGUUGGACUCUCCCUUCCUCCUUAUAAUGCUUCAAGUCUCCCCUUCAAAAAAAAAAAAAAAAAAAGGGAGUAGAAUACUAAGCAUGCCUUUGAAUUUAGACCCCCUAAAGUGCACCUUUAAUUUGCAAGGUUUAAAAGUUCAAGUGGAGUCCAUGACUCAAUGCAUUAUAUAUCCACUCAAUGGCUUUUAUAUCUCCUCCACUUAAUAUUUGAGCAAAAGGCAAUACAUAACUUUUUUUGCACACUCAUCACAAAUGACAAAAACAAAAACGAACUGAAAGAAGAUAAGUGAUAGGUCGGCUCAAGAUCAUGUAUCUGGAUAUUCUCCAAUAUGCAGAAAAAGGACAUGAUUCUAAAAAGUGAGUUUCAAGAUUUUAGUGAGUCAACUUCUAGAAGCUUAGUGUUGAGGCUUAGAAUGUCAAAGUUGAGUUGACCUUGGAAAAGUAGUGCUUUGAGAGAAUUUUGUACACCAUCAUGGCACAAAUUUGGAUGAUGGGUUUCAUAGAUAGGGGCUGCUACUGUUUUGUCAAAAAGACAAAAAAAAAAAAAAAAGAAGAAGAAGAAGAAGAAGAAAAUACUAUACGACAUGAAGAAAAUAAUCUCCAGAUCAAAAACUAAUGAAUCCGUCCAUUCAAUUCCCUUAUGGCACAAGAUAAUUAAGCUCUAAAUCAAUAUUAGAACAAAAAAAUGUUACACUUCUAUUGUUUAAUCGUCUGAGAUUUUAAUUAAGUUUUGAUUGUGCAAAGGGACACAAAUUAGGAAAUCCAUUUUUAUUAAGGGUAGAACUAUUAUUACUAAGCUUACUGAAAAUCGUCCAAGUCCAAAGAGAAUCGAUUAAAGUUCCUGAGAUAUUUUAUUCGAUUUCCUUCGAACCCAAUUAACUUCCGUAGCACCAGAAACUAUCAUAGCAACAACAGAAAAGUGCGCUUAAGUACCGCAACUUGUUUAAUUUUAGAUUGGCCUGUAUCUAGAAGAAAUUUAUGAGUUUUGGCAGAAAUGUCUUUUUAUGAAGGUAAAUGGAGGAGGUAUAAGAAUGCUACUGUGUUGUCUUAAAAAGGAGGAACACCCUUAUGAUGCUCUACUGGUAAAAUGAGCCCAUAAAUUGAAUCGUUUCCGGGGUUGGAAUAGCGUUAAUACAUGAGACAUUGUUUUGGUUUUAGACUUAGAGGUGUAUGAUAGGGAUAAAAAUGAGAAAAAGAACACAAAGGAAACUGAUUUCUCACACGUAUCUUUUUGUAGACUGCUGCACGGAGGAGAGGGCAAGUGUUCUGCUGCGACAACUGAAGUUUACAUGCAAAUUUAAAUGGUGAGACUGUUCUGCAUUUAGCCAGUAUUGGUAUGAGAUUAGCUAUUCAACUAUUAAGCAGCAUUUUCAUGUGAAAAAAAUGUCACUAUUAAGCAGCAUUACUUUCAAAAAGAAUGAAAUCUGCAUUGGUCCAAAACAUUGCCCUAAAAUAAAUGACAUGAAGACACUAGAUCAUAUUUGUUUUUUGUCCUUUUGCUUCAUGUAAAAUUAAUAUAAUAAACAAGAACAUUAAAAUAACUAAUUGGACAAAAUGCAAGAUACAGGACUGACUACGGGGGGAACAAGUGGGGUGGGGGGAACCAAAACCUUUUAAUUGAUAAAAAAAAAAAGUAGUAGUGUUGAUGUUGCUGAUUAAGAAAAACAAAAAAAAAAAAAAUGAACAAAUGCUUUUAACUGAUCAAAAGGUUGUGGUGUGCAAUGCCUUAAUUAAAGGGACUCAAAUCACCUUACAAUCAAUCACACUUAAGGACUUAAGCCACCUUACGAUCAAUCAAAUAUUUAAGAUACUUAAAGGUAGAAUUAAAAUUUAAAGACAACGAAAUGAUGAAAAAAAAUUCAUUGAUUAGAAAUACCUGUCUUGAAGCUGUAUUCUUUUAAAGAAUCAACCACAAAUCUUUGUUUCACUCUUCAAUCGACUAUCUAUUGAAACGGGAAUUGAACCUAUACUAAAACUAUUUAAGCUUGAACAGAGAGCUUAAACUAUUAAAAACCUGAAACUAAUCAUGAAGAAAAAGGAAAUGGAACUGAUGUCCUGGCUGAUGUGUGUGUGUGUGUGUGUUUUUUUUUUUUUUUUUGGAUAAAACAGAGGCCAAUGUUAUUAAUAAAUUUGGUGGAAAUCGUUUAGCACAUUUUGCUUACUAAGAUAACUGCAUUAAUGAUAGAAAAUACAUUGUACAUGUCACAAAUAUAUCUAAUCUAAAAACUCAUUAUAUUGUGAAUCACAAACCGUCAAAUCUGAUCAAUUGCACAAGCUGCACCAUAAAUAUCUGUGUAUGCCUAUUCCCUCAAAUCUAUUAUCCAACUGGUUCAAGUUCAAAACUGAUGUUAAGGUCUGACUAUCUAUUAAGAAAUUUCAAAUCUAACAUAUUGAUAUGAAAAAACUCUUAUUAGAUCUAAGAAAAAUAACAAAAAAUUAAAUAAAACUCCCUCUAAAAUAGCCUAGGAUAGAAGAAAAUUCUCACUAAUAAACACUAGGAGAGAAAAAAAAAACUCUCACUAGAAUACCCUAAAAGAAACUUUAUUAAAUGUAAAAUAAAAAUAUUAUAGGAAGAGAAAGGGGGAUCUUGACUGGAGACCAAGAUUUCCCUCCUUUUACGGUGGAAUAAGGGUGGCGAGAAAAUUGAGAGUAGAGAGAAAGCAAAAAGAGAACGGGUGGGCAGAGAGGGAGAAAGGUAAUAACUUUUGAAUUAAUUUCUUACACUGACAGUGUGCCUUUUGAAUUAAUCUUUCCUACAUUGACAAUAUACACUGUCAGCAUUGGAUGAAUGACAACAGUACAAAAUUUGAAUUUAAAAUUUAACUUUUACAUAUAUAUCAUAAAUCUAUCGGUGAUAGUGUAUACAUUGUCAAUGUAUACUCGUAACGUUUUGGCUGAUGAGUUUGUGUCGCUUAAUCGCAUCCAUUGCUUUUAAUUACCAAUGAUCCUACCGAAGAUGACAAAAUUAAUUGUCAUUAUUGGAUUUUAAUUUUAGUAAAUUACUUUUAUAUGAAUUUAGGAUCCCUAAUUUGUAGCCUCAGCCUCAAUGAUGACCAAAUCACAGCCUAAUUUUUUUUUGCUGGUCGCCCUCUUUCUUAUUUCUUAUCAUGUCUUCUCUUCCCUUCUUGUCUAAUUUGCCACAACUUCAAAAAGGGCACAAGCUGUGGCGACUAGAAUAUUAGUUCCAAGCAAAAAGUGUCUCCAGAGUUAGGAUGCAAGUUGAAGAGAGGCAACUGUUCCGGGGCACACCUUCUUUUGUGAAAAAGCACAAAAUUUUCUUUUUGAAAAAUAACAAUCAAAGCAAAAAAAAUUCCUUAAACAAUAUAUAACUGUUCAAGAAACGGUACAAUUUAGAAUUUCUUUUUCGUUCAAAUUUAUAUAAAAAAAAAGCACAAUAAUUGAAUUGAAACAAUCACACGUCACAUAUUUUGUUUAUGAGCCCAUUUACAAAGAACGAUUUGAAAAACACGCAAAUAUGACUGAACGUAAUGAUAGAUAUAAAUAUGAGAACUCUAAAUAUACUAUAGUGCUUAGAAAAUGAAUUUCAAAAGAAGAUUAAACCUUCUUCUGCAAGCCUCACGUUUUUGCCUUUCUCUCAACAAAUUGCAAUCUUGCAACUUGCAGGGCAUAAUUGUAACACAAAAACAACUGUAGGGACUAUAUGAGGAAAUAUACUAAAUCUGCGGGCGUUUAAUGCAAUUAAUUCUAAUUUAGAUCCUUGUAGAGUCCGUUGCCCUCCACUAAACAGAGCAAGUAAACCUAAGCCAAAUUUCGCCUUCACAACAACCACCACCACCACCAGCGCUGCCGCCGCCGCUGCAGCAGCCGGAAGUAGAAAUUCAACAGAGACUUGUUUCAAAAUGGGGAGUAGGAAGCAGAAAAAUCAGAAGCAGCAGCUUUCAAAAACACCCACCAAAAAGCAUAAAAAUCAAAAGCCUUUGGGGCCUAAGAAAUCCGAAACUGGUAAUAGUAACACCAAUAGCAAAAGCACCAAGUUCAAGAGAAUCGGGAAGGGGGAGAAGAAGAAGAAGAAUCAGAGCAAGGAGUAUAAGGAGGAGAGGAAGAAGAACGAGAAGAAAGGAGUGGAAAGGGAAAACGACGCCGUACAAGUACAGCAGCCCACGCAGUCGCAGCAGCUGAGUUAUUUCCUCCACCAGUAUCAAUCAGCCAAUGGGAUUCAACUUUCCACUCUCGAACUCGAAUCUUUCAAAGGUCUUGCCUGGCCCCGUCUUGCUUAUUUAAUCUAAUUCUUUAGUUUAAUCUUUUCAUUUUUUUUUUUGGAAUUUACAAGGGAAUCAUGAACAUGGUAACUGAAACAGUGAAGUGCAUUUCAAAGUUUUGCUUUUCUCAGUAUUUCUUUUUUUCUUGUGUCAAAUUUGCAAUUUUUUUGGCAGUUUUGUGAGUAUAAUAAUUUGACAUGGUUAUCUUUUGCACACCAUCCAAGGUGCAAUUCUUGUAUUACAAAACUGAUCCAGGGCUUUUGCAAUUGUCAGUUUUAAUUCAACCAUGAAAUGUAUGCAAUGUAUGCACAAACACAACAGAUGUAGAUACUAACACAUUAACAGACAAAAACACAACAAAUUUUAUCACUCGUUGAAAGUAGCAUUUGUUGUCAGUUUCAUUUUUUUUUAUUUGUUUGAAUUUACCUUGGAUUUGAGGAAGUUGGAAUAAUUGAUACUAUAGGAAUGUUGAGGUGUAGUUGAUAUUAUUAAAUUUCCGAACCUUGUGUUUUUUUCUUGUCAAAUGUGCUCUGUCUUGGUCAGUCCUACAUUUGCCUCGGUUGUCUUCGACAAUAGUCAUCGCGUGUUGCAUGCAAGACAUGCUAUUUCAGAUUAAAGGCAUUUGUACUCGUUUUUGUAAUCCUUAGGUGGUGGCAUGCAUGUUCGGUUUUUACUUUAAAAGAUGAAUCUGGGCUGCUUCUGCAAUUGCCAAUUUCAAUUGCACCAUACACGCACAAUAGAUGUUGACAUUGACAUAACAAACUUAGACACUAAGACGUUAACACUUAAAAACACAACAAAUUUUGUCAUUCAUUAUAGGUUGUGUUCUACAAUCAAUCCAACUCAUUCGAAUUUAAAUGGAACACAUCUGGACCAUCAACUGCUCCAUGGAAUAGCUCUGACAACUGUAUAGAACUCAAUCCUACAAAAUCCAGUACAAAUGCAUUUGACAUUAGCAUAAAAUUUUACCAUCAUGAGCUAAACGCACCGUUUUCCCUAGUUUGCUCUCCCUUUUUUUUGGGUUUUUGUUUGGUUCACUAUCAUAAGAUCUUUCCUCUUAUGAUACUGUUCUUUUAAAUUUUUUGUUUUGCGUCUUUAUUAUGAUUCUUCUCUUGAUUGAAUGUAUUCUCACAGUAGUUCUGUUGUUUGUUUUGGCAGCAGAUACAUGCAUGGUUGAGUUAAGUCAGAAUGCAGCACAAAAUAAUUUGGGAGAACACAUGAAAACAGCAUUUGGAUCCUCAUUCAAAGAAGUUCUUUGUGAGAAACAGCUUGGAGAAGGGAACGUUGAUCCUGGAAAUCCUGCACUUCUUGUAAUUUCUUUAUCAGCCCUAAGAUCAUUAGAACUUCUCAGGUUAAUGCCUAGAAAUCUAAAAACAUAUUGCUGUAGAAUUUCUGAGAUUCCACAUUCUGUAAUAAAAGAAUCAGUAGCUUCAUUUUUCUAAGCAAGGCCUAGCAAUUAUCAGAAUAAUGUGGUUUUGUCCUGUCUUCACAGGGAAUUGCGGCCUCUGACUAAAGAAUGCCAUGCUGUGAAGUUGUUCUCAAAGCAUAUGAAGAUAGAGGAGCAGGUACACUAGUUUUCCUUUCUUAGAACAGUUUUACUAGGUCUUGCUUUCAUUAGAAACUCUACAAAAGUUAAGGAAUAAGUAGAAAUCGAUUGAUGCCCUUGUAUUGGUGCUAUGAUUGUGAUUAUAAUCUUUAAUUUCUGUGUGCUUGGCUUCUAAGUAUUAUAAGUUGAAAAAGAUUAAAGUUACUGUUGAUAGAGAUAAUUGACACAUAAAGACAUGUCUAGAUUAGGGGAUGGAGAAAAUUAUUCACAUCUACUGUUCAAAUUGGUUUCAGGUUUGGAGCCAUCUUUUAUUGUCUGUCGACUCUUGCAACAGAUUAGAACCUUUCAAGUUUCAAAUAAUAGCUCGGGACUUUAGAUGAGAUCUGAGAUGCAAUUCUAGGCUUAGUCCUCACCAGUAUCAGUAAAGCAUGCACAUUUAUGAACCUGCUGCUGGCCACAAGUAACUCCCUUGUCUGACAAUUUAUCGGUCUUCAAUGACAAACUAGUAAGCCUAAUUUUCUGCUUAGCAUGAACCUGGAAUUAUCAGUUGAAAAAUCACUUGAAAUAGCAUAAAGGAAUAAGUUGUUCAAAAUCCAAUACUUUUAACUUCUGCAUUUUGGCUGUUCACAUAAUUUAACUUCAACCAGGUUUUUGACAAUACCUCGAAAAAUUACAAGGAAAACUUGGUCCUCAUUUUAACUCUGGGCAAUCAAUCACUUAAGGAUGAGGAUCGGGCUAGACUUAGGUAAAGCUAUGCAUUUUAUUUUGGUAAUAGAAAGAAGCAUCUGAGAAGAAAAAAAGCAAGUGGCAACAUUUAAAACAAAUUCCAAACAUAAGAUGUAGAAAUCAUAGAUUGAUAUUCUUCUUCUCAAAUUAAGUAGGUCUUGAUUUUCUGUCAUGGCUUUACGAAGACGGUCCUCUAUAUGCCUGACAAUCCCCUUGUAUGGUCUUGAUCAUUAGCUCUGCUUCUACAAGAAGAGCACUAACAUUUUGUUUUUGUUUUUUAUUUUUUCCUCUCUGUCACUGAUCAUUAACUUUUUUUCCCUGUUUGCACGGUUUUUUCCCCACUUAUAUACUUGGUUGUUCUUGUUACUCUCUCUCCCGGCAAGCAUCUUGUUUCACAUCCAUUGUAGUAAUGAGAGAUGUAACUGCAUGGUAGUAAUCCUGUUUUUUCAAAAUGUUCUCAUUCGGCAUCCUAUCUCUUUGAACCUAACUUAUCUAAAAGCCUUUCAGGCAUCCCACAUUUAAACAAAUUUAAAUGCUGUGUUGAUUUGCCUCUUUUGGUGAACUUUUAGCAGUUCGAGAGGAAUUGAUGCAAGUGUUUUUGUUUUCUAACUAAUGCUUAGCUUUGAUGAGCUUCUUAUUCAUUGAAUGGCUGAUUCAUAAAACUUUACUUGCUUUGGUUACAUGGGCUUUUUUUAAUAUUUUUUAAUAGUAAUCCAGAUGAUUAGUGCAUUUAUGUAACUAAGAAAUGGAGACAAAAAACCGGUGAAGCAGGCAGUGCUGAAAAUUACAUCUGUCUGUUAAACUUGACAAGAAGAAAUGGCAAUCUGUUCAUAUUUAUUUUUUUUGGAAACUGAAGUUAAUUUCCUAAGUGAUAUGCAGCUUUGCUGAGUUGUGUUCCUUAUGCCAUUUGGUCUGGCUGCUAGUUUGUACAUCACUACAGUGUGUCAAUGGAUGUGUUUUUUCUAUAGACAAGAUAAUUGGUAUGUUAUUCCUACUCAUAAAUAACUUUUCUUCUAAAACCAGCCUUUCUUUUUGUUUUUUGCCAAUCAUGCGUGUACCUGUGUCAACAAAUAUCUUUGCUAUGUAGACAACAAACUUGGAAUUUUCCUUUCCCAAACAUAAAUCAAUUUUUCUGAUAAAAAAGGCUGUCUUUUUUUUUGCCCAAUCAUGUACUUAUUUCAAUUUUUACUAGGUUAGAUAUUAACUGUCAAGAAAUUCAUCUGUUGGUAAAAAACCAUAGGAAAGUAAACAAGUGAAAGUAUAAGAUUACAGUGUGAGAAACUUGUUCUGCAUUUUUCUUUUUGUAUGACCUGAAAGAGUGUAAAGCAUAUUAUCCUUUUGAAGUCAUUCUCUUUUCUUCCUUACAGUGUUGACUUUAAUCCUGUCUUAGGUUCUAUGAAAAUCUCAAAAAGUUAAGGAAUUCCUGUAGUUACAAAACAAUAUUGUCCGUCUGCAGCAUAUGUAACGUUCUGGUGUAUGUGGCCAAGUCUUCUCCUUUCUUUUGGUCUUGAAGUUUGACAUUUUCUUUACAUGUGUGGUGACAGGUUUCUUUUCUAAAGAAUCGUGUCAAUGUUGCUUGUGGAACACCAAACAGGUAGGUGAAGCUUCUUUCUUGCAUAAGUUGCAUGUGGCUCUUUCUCACGCUGCUUACUGGUUGUUUGUUUUGGCAUAUGGUUUUGGAACUAGAUAUUGCUUUUGUUUGACUUAAUUUGGGUUGCCAAUUUAUUGUCUCCUCUGUCUGAUCAGUCUUCCAGGACUCAGAAAUCUUAUAGUUAGACGAUUUAUCCAUUUACUGGAAGGGUUUAUUGUAGUUAGAGAGAGAGGGAGAGAAGAGAGAGAACUGUCUUAGGAAAUGUUAUUUUCCUACCCUUACUCUUUAGUUCACCCGUUGUAUAUCUUGAUUUGCUAAGCAUUUUGCAUUUGUUGUAGGAUAAAGAAGUUGAUUGACAUGGAAGCAUUGGGCUUGUCAAGAUUGGCAGUUAUUGUUCUUGACAUGCACACAGAUGUCAAGGGCUAUUCCUUGUUCACACUUCCUCAAGUCAGGUUUGAUCCGUUUAGCUGAUAUUCCCAUUAUGAUUACGCUUGUGAACCAUGUGAUAUUGAUAUCGGGUUUGCUGAAUUCCAAUAUCUGGAAUGCCAUGGUUGUCCUCAUGGUUGUCUCUCUCUUUCUUUGAUUUCCAUUUCCAUGGCUUCACCCUUUACUUUGAAUAUUGUCUAAGCAUUGCACACGACACCUAUUUUGCGUCAGACAGGGUCAAAUGGGGAAAUUUGUGUCAUACUGCUUUUCAUGCAACUCAAAAUUUUCAUCCCUUUUCCCUUGAUUACGUAAUGCGUGCACAUUUUCUUUUCACUCGAAAGAUGGUUAAUUUUGUACCUGCAUGGAAAAUAUCAUUUGACAGAGAAGAGUUCUGGGACCUGUACAAGAGCUACAUUCAUCAACGACUGCUUGAAGGUGAUCUGCGAAUCUGUCUGUAUGGUCAAAUACCAGCUAUUCGAAGAGCUCCAACGGAAGCUAAAGAUAACUGAAGCGGCUUAUUCAUGCCCAAGAGUUAAGAAUAUUCUGUGUUGCUUGUACCAGUGCAGACCUUUUUUUUCAAAAAAAAAAUUUAGGGGAUACGAAGGAUAAUAUUAAAAAAACCUUAUUGUGGUAGCGAUGAAGUAAUAGUUGCAGGAAGCAAUAACACACAAAUUUUGGAUUGAUGUAACCCGAAGUUGCAAAUUAUGCACAACCUACACGUAUACUAAUCUAAGGCCAUGUAGUUCUGGUAGCUUUUAAUCUGGAUUAGAAUGGAGCUUCAAAAUUUUAUGCAAGGCUUUCUAGUGAUAACAGAGAUUGUGCACACUGGGGAGCUAUAUUUGAAAUCUCUAAAUCAGGUUAAGUAUCAAAGAUGUUAAUGAUAUGGAUUGAACAAAUGAUUUGAAAGGGAAACUAUAUCAAAACCUGCUUUGGACUGCCUUACCAUGGUGGUAAAUUCCAAAGCCUCAAAAAACCUCAGAAAUUCCAGAGCAAGUGGUUUAUGGUGUUAAGAGUUAUAACUUGUAAGAUUGAAGAAAAUGCAAUUUGCUGCAUGGUCAAAAUCAGUUAAUCACUGGAAGACUUCAGCUCAAAUGAUUAUUUUUAUUUUUUUACUUGUGUCGCCUUCCUUUUUUUUUUUUUUUUUUUUUUUUGGGACAAUUGACAAUGUUGAUUAUUUAGGCUUAGAAUGAAGGUAGGAUGCAUCAUGGGUAGAAUGAUGAUUCAAGCAUGCAGCUGUACUGUAACACAAAUGUUUUUCGAGGAAUGCCCUCAUUGAUGUACAUUUAUUCAACAGAAGAAAAACUUAUUUGUAUAGGUUUAUACAUUGUAGAAUGUACGUGGAGAUGGAAUAUUGGUUUCCAUUCCACAAUUAAACUUAACCAUUAAAAUUUAAGUGAGGAUCCUUAACCGAUUAUUAGGAAUAAGGUACAGUACAAUCUCUCAUUUAUAAUCAGGCGUAGUUAAUGGUACAGUUUUAUCUCCUAAAUUACCACUAUAAAUGGAUAGAUAAUUAAUUUUCUGGAAGUGACAACCAUUUUAAUCGUCUACGUGUUGAACAUUUUUUAGUAUUAAUCUAUAAUUCUGGAGUGAUUAAAAGUUUGAGAGAAAUCCCACUUUGUUUUAUUCAUUCCCCAAAUCCAAUAUACAAAUAGGAUUAAUCCAAUCCAAGUAAAGAUCAAUAAUCUUUCGGAUAAAUUACUUAUAACCCCCUAUGAUUUUACAUAAUGUUAGAUGAUCCCCCUAAACUUUUAAAUUAGUCACAUAACCCCCUUAUGAUUUUGUGCAAAGUGGAAAAUGGACAGACUACACAAUCAAUUACAGUGUUUCUAUCAAACAUGCUCUAAAAUCGGGUGUGAUAAAAUCUCAAUUUUCAUGUAACCCCCUUAUGGUUUGUAUAAAUAUUCACUUUAUCUCGUGAUUUUGCAUUUAUCUAUAUAAUCCCCUUAUAUUUUUAUAUAAGGUAGCUAAGUUGUCGAUUAAUUUAACAUUUAAGUAAUGGCACUAUUGAUGUUUCAAUUAACAACGUUAUAUAAGUUAUUUUCUGUCGGAUUUCUACUUUAGAUAAAAUCAUAGGAGAAUGAAAUGGAUAUUUUGAAACACUAGGGGAUUAUGUGACAAUAGAUGAAAUCAUAGGAGGGUUAUAUGUAAUUUACCCUAAAUUUUUAGGUGUUUAAUGACUUUGUACUUUAAAGAAGCUACAUACAAAUUAAGAAAAUAGCUUCAACAUGUAAGUUAAAAGAUCUCAAGUGACCUUCACAACUUCUCAAACUUUGGCGAAGUUAGGAACAGAUUCCAACUCGUGAAAGUUGUCCUCGUGGAAAAGAAUAAAAAAACUGAAUUAUAGCUAAAAAAAAGUAUUCAUUGCUGCAGGUGCCUAAUUUAGAGUAGGAUAUUUGUAUGAACAAUUUUGUGUUCUCUGCUCAAAAAAAUUGGUCUUCGUCAGUUAUCUUUUGCCUCAGAACCCUCUGUUUAGUGGGGAUUUAUUCGUAGUCUUUCAUCCUUAAAAGGGAUUUUUCGUACAUAAGCAUAGCCACAAAAGCUUCUUUCUCUUGUUCUUUAUUAGGGGUUUCAAUUUCUUGUUCUCUCCUUUUGGCAAUUCAAGCAUCAACAAACGCAAAUUUUAGUUGCUUAAAUAUGUUCUAAAGAGAAAAGUGCAAUUUCCAACAGAAUUUUACACACCUAGUGGCUGCUAUAUGACUGUUCUUAAUCAGUUUAGAUGCUAUAUGCCUUGAGAAAUGUGGAUUGUGCUAAAAAGGGGAAAGAAUAAAUAAAGAAAGGAGGUACAUUGAUAAAAGAACUUAUGGCUAUAUUACCCUUUUGACUAAAUGUGAUGAACUAUUUAUUGAAGAUAGAUGAUGUCAAGGCAAUCCCUAAGGAAAGGGCUGCCAUCCUAAUAAAACAACAAUCCAUAUUCGGAAAAUCAAAUAGCUGUUUGCAUCUCUAAUUCACAACUAUAUGGAAAUCAAUUAGCUAUUUUUUUUUACAAGAAAUAGAUGUAUGGCAAGUUUUAUGAGUGUAGUAAUUCAUAGUACAUACUACAAAUAAGUCCUCCUUAUGCGCCUAAUUUUAGGUGGUGCAAGUUCUUUGUUAUAUAUAGAUAACAUGCUAUUGAGCUCAGAGAUUGCAGCACCAUACUUCCAUAGACUAUAUCUUUACCAAGUCAUUGAUUUCAGUGCUCUGCCUAAAGGCUCUGCCGCAUGUUUAAUAUCUUUACCAAGGGACUCGGGGCACGGACGGUUGCAGGUGCAAUCGUCCCUGCCAAUUGUAGUCAUUAUCAACUGGUCGUAACUUUUUUUGUACAUCGUGUAACUUUUUUUUCACAAGAUGUAUUUUCACAACAGAUAGUGGUGGGCCCCACACUUGGCGCGGAAAUCGAGUUACAUGGUGUAAUCUCAGCCGCACAAAAUUUUGAGGGCCAAUCUUGGCCCUUAACCGUGCAGGGACGGUCAUACUGCCCCAAAUCCCUUUACCAAGUCAUUAAUUUGUUGACAAGAAACAAGGUUUUUUUUGCAAAAUUAGUUCAUUAGAUUUCUCCAAAUAAUUAGGGUACAAAGGUAAAUUUUCACAAUUUUUUGUCAGCAAUAGUCCCACCCCUAAGGGAGGUCAGUGCUAUUUCUUAAAUCAUAGGAGAGGUGAGUGCUAAUGUCAGAAACUCCAGAGGAGGUUUAUGCAAUUAUCCCUUUUCUAAAGUUAUAUAGCUAGGCUGGACAGUUAAGUACUGUGAAGUUACAGUCCCUAUGAUUAGUACUAUCGUCUAGUUAACAACACUAAGGGUUGGUUUUGGUUCAGCUACAUGCGAUUUGAAAAUUUUGGACAAGUUUGGAAAAUUUUGCUAGCUUGCCAAAAAACCCUCAAUUUCAAGAAUUCAUAGCAUAUAACAACACGUCCACACAUUUCCAACCCAUUCAAAUUCAUAACACAAUCACACCCAUGACAAACUAUCGAGUUCCUUGACAAUGUUCAAAACCAUUAGUAGUUUGGCAAGGGCCAAAUCCAAAUAAUCAGAGCUAAUAUUUGCUGUCAACACACGCGUCAUUCACUGUACAUCCCUAACCCUAAACAUCGAUAAUCCUGCACACGAUUUAGUGUCUCCACCUAUGCUUAUAGCCAAAAGGCUGUGGCUGUAACAAUUUUCAAAACAAUGGACUUUUAGAAGUCAUACAAACAUGAAAUAUUUUCCUCAGUCAUACAAACUGGGAUUCUGGCAUCUUGUAGAACCAUGUUGUGGGCUGAGUUUUGAGGGUGGCAAACGAUUUCAGAUGCUAGCUCCACAUGAUAGUGCCAAACAUGUUCCUGAAAAAUCGUUGGGAAAUUUAAAAGUUUAUUUAUGGUAUAUGCUUUUGGACAAAGCUUUAGACAAAAGAUAGGGAGAGAUUAGGUAAUCGCAAAUAUUGUUGUAAUACUAGGACGACUACCCCAAUGCCUCAUAAACUUUGUAACAAGAACAUCACUGUCGAGGUUGCCAAAAAAUAUCAAGAAGGAUAGGACGAAAAAAAAAUCAAUGUACUUGUUUGAGAAGAUAAACUUAAAGACUGGAAUCUUAACACUAGUACCUAUUUUCUGUGAACUAAUGCGGCACAUUGGCAAUCCGAGACUCAUAUUCGGCUAAAUCCAAUAUACACUUGUAGCUCUCUCUACUCCUACUCUACAUUAAGAGGAAGCGGUGGACCCAAGGGAAUCAAUGGAAAAUCUGGGGAGAUUGAACUGCCACCGGACCAGACAAGUGUUUUUUGCACAUGUUAAUGAAAUUUUCAGGAAAUCCUGGAUUAGAAUGCAUGCCAAGACAUUCGAUCUCUUGACCUACACUCAAAAAAAGUUUUAAAACUCUCCCUAGUGGCCUAAAGUAGUUGGUUAGUAUACACUUGUAGCUCUCGGGGGGUAAUCUAAUGGUGGAUGCCCAAUUAGGGCAGGAGGAAUUGAGGUUGGGACAGGGAAAGUCUUUCUUGAAAUCCCAUCACCCACUCUCAAACAGGACCACCUUCUCUCAAGAAGAGUUCUGUAACUUCAACUAAUAUGGUGUCAAGGGACUGAAGGACAAAAAAUUGAAAAAGAAUUAUAUAUAACCUAAGACAUAUUGAUAUGGCUGUUGUGUUAUACCAAUAAGCAAUAAAGUUAUAUAAGACAGCUAUAUAAUUACACCCGAUUUCCAAGUCUCUCAACCAGUCCAAAUUAUUACACAACCGAAGAAAACAAUUACACAACUCAAUAUACGGGUUACAAAGGUGUAAUUAAUUUGUGUUUUAAGGUAAAAAUUAAACUUAUUUAAAUGUCUAUAAGAUAAUCUUUGAAUCUAUGAUGUUGCAUUACUUUUAUUACAAACAUUUUUAAAAUUGAAGCCUAAGUACAAAAAAAAAAAAAGAAAGAAAAACAAAAGGGACAAUACACAGUUAAAAAAAAUAAAAGAGAAAAACACUAAUAAGCAAGGCAUUGAACAGAGACUACAAAGUGAACGAGAAGAUAGGAAGGGGAAGAUUUGGGGUAUGUUGAGAUGCUUCAAAAUCUGCAACACUGAUAGUGCAUAGACAAUACAUUACUUUUUUCUAUCCUUGUACCAUGUCAUAUAUUUCAAUUACUAUACUCUAGAUAGUAAUCCAAUUACCAAAAAAUAAUGGGAGAAAAAAUAUGCAAACAUUGUCUUGAAGAGUUCUUACUAAGAACCUAUAGUUUACUUGAAGGGGAGGGGAAAAAGUAGAGCAGAAUUUUUUAAUUUCAUGGUCAAGAAAAUACUUCAUAAAGUAUGGCAAAUAGAAAUAAAAUUUCAAAUAGCAUUGAAAAGAAAUAUAAUGAAAUUUGAUUCUUUGAAUCAACAAUCACAAUCUGAGACAACUUUUUCCAAAUUCUAAAUUCCUUAAACAAAAGGCUAAUACAUCAAAGUUAAUAUUUUUAUUUGAAUAUAAGAUAUUGAAGCUUCACCAACGAUUUGCACAAGAUUGGAACAAACAGGUUCCGCAUACCUUUACAAAAAAAAAAAAAAUGUACAAGAGACUCGGAGCAUUUAAUGAGUAACCUUCCCGAGAAUUUAACAGCAAAUACUAAAUUCGCAAGUAAAAUCCGAAGAAUGUAGCAACUUUCCGGGUAAAAUUCAUAUUAAUUUCCUCCAAUAGAAACACAAGAAUACCAUACUCAUCUUCCUUCUGUUGAUUUUUUUUUUUUUUUUGGUGCGAAAAGUUGCUUUCCGUUAACUGUGUUUCUAUCUAUUCUACAAAGUACAAACACUGCUCCUCGGUUAAUAACCAUGCACUACUCCUUGGUUAUUACAUCACAACACUGACAAAUUACAAUAUCAAUAAAUUGGGUUGUUUUAUUUUUAUAAUUCUAGGUUACACUUUGUAUGUUCUGCAUUUAUCUCUUAUCUUCAAUCUCCUGACGAAAUCAUUUACUAGUUAGAGUUUAGAUUUGUCUUGGUUGAAUUAACAUCAAUGGAGGAAGUUCUGAUGAAAUCAUUUAAUUUUAACAAUUAAAAAAAUGAGAUUUGACAAAAAUAUUUUGACAUAAUUUCAAUAAAUUCUUAUUACUUCUUGCACUUUUUCUUAAAAAAUUGUAUUAGUAUAAUUAUAAUAAGUAUUAUAAUAAGUUGAUUAUUUAUAACUCGAAUGUAGGACUAGUUUUUAAAAAAAAAAUUUUGAGCAACUUGAGUUUCCAUGCCAAGUAAAACUGAAGUUUUUGUAUUAAUGUUGUUCACAUGCUUUACUAUGCCAAUUUCACAUGUUAUAUGAGUUGAAUUUGUUAGUCAAAAUUGUUCAAAACAAAAUUAAGUAUAUAUGAAUUCUUUGAAUACGAACUUUCUGUAUUCGUUUUAGUGUUAUGUUUGUUAAUUAUGGGAUGUAAAUAUUCCACAAUAAUUAUUCCUAGUUUGUUGUUGAUUUUUAAAGAGGAAUUAAAAUUUUAUUAGUAGAGCUGAUGAGUUUAUCCUCUUUAUUCUUUUCUUUCACUCUUGUUUGUAGUUUUUAUUUUUUUUCUUUUCUUUUAAUUUCAUUUUAGUUGUUAUUCUUUUAUUUUGAUGUGUAUUUUCUUAGUACUUGUAAUUAUAAAUCUAUUUCAAUAGUAUUAAUAUUAUUGAGCGACCAUGGAUAGUUAAAUAGUUUUGGUUAGGAAGUUUUUCAUAUGAAUUACCAUUAUAAUACAAAUAUAAUGGAAUAUGGUCUUAUAUUGAUAAUUGCCACCAUAAAUGAAAUACAAUAAAUUACAUAACAAAAGAAGGAGGGCAUAAUAGAAAGUACAAAAACUAAGACAAUAUUGUGCUUAUACUCCAAAGGACCAAGACUCACCAUAAUAGUAGUGAUGAUCAUGAUAAUGAUCAUGAUAAUGAUUUGUUACCAGGCUGUCAUAUUUAAAAUGGAAUUUCUGUACAUAAGCAUAAUCGGGAAAGCUUCUUUUUUGUUGUCCUUUAAUUACUGGUUUCAAUUGCUUAUUCUCUCCUUUUGGCAAUUCAUCUAUCCACAAAAGCAAACUUUAGUUGCUUCAAGAUAAUUACGUUCAAACGAGAAAGAACAAAUUCCAACAGAAUUUUACACAGUUAGUGGCAUCUAGAUGACUUUUCUUAAAACGUUUAGAUGCCAUUUGCCAUGAAACAUGUGGAAUGUGCAAGAGAGGGGAAAAGAAUACAGAAUAGAAAAGAGAGGCACGUCACUAAAAUAACUUAUUUAUACUACAUUCUGGACUAUAUAUUAUGAAUCAUUUAUUGAAGAUAGAUGGUGCGAAAACAAUCUGUAACACUACAACAAUCUAAAAAUGGAAAAUCAAAUGCCUAUCUGCAUCUAUAAUUUACUAUUAAAGAACCCUUAGUGGAGACUAGUUUACCCGGAAGCCUGUUUGGGUAUUUUACUUGGGACCGCUUUUUCUUCUUUUUGCACUCAUGAUAUUACCAUCUCCUUGUCUGUUUUCUACUAAGAUGAAAACUUCGGAAAUUAUGAUCAAGGCUGGCUCUUUGUGGAUGCAUGUAACAAAAUUUCUUGUGACUGAAAAAGAAAAGCUUGUUGGUACAAUAUUCUGAAGUGUAGGGUAUCACCAUACUGUCAUUGAAAAAACAUGUUCAUUACACCAUUUCUGUGUGUAAAUUAGAUGUAUGCAUGGUGAUCUUUAUCAGUAUAAUGAUUCAUACUGCAUACGACAAAGUACAAAUGAGUCCCCCUUGUACAGCUAGUUUUAGGUGCUGCAAGUUCUGUGCUAUAAUAUAUAACAUGCUAUAGAGCUCAGGCAUUGCAGCAGCAUACUUCUAUGGGCUAUGUCAUUUAUACCAAGUCAUUGAUCUGUAGAAUCCCAGUGCUCUGUCUAUAUAAGCUCUGCUGGCUUUUAUUAUUUUCUGCAAUAGUUCCUGCAACCUAUGCUACUAAUGACCUCCAUUUCAAUCAGAUGUAGCAUGUAGGCACGUAUACGUAGUAAUGAAAUCCUUGUUCAGUCAUCCUAUAGACCAAAAAUAUUCCUCAACAACAAAAAAUAUUGUUUGAUGACGGAUCCCACAUCGGUUUGAGGAAGGGAACGAAAUGGGUUUAAAGGCUUACAAUUUGGAUUAAGUAUUUUGGGUAAGUGGAUUUUGGUCAAAAAAUUACUUGGACUAACCAUUGAACUCAGAUCGUGACAAUUGGUCUCGUGUGGCUUUUGCGUGGGAUAAGUCUGGGUCAGCGGGUUAUGAUUCUGACUACACAAAAAAGUGUAAGAAAUUAAAUGCUGUGCGGGUUUAAGUAUCACAUCGGACAGGGGCCACUUCUAGAGCCCGUACGAACCACCUCUAAAGUCCGAGCAUAACCCAGUAUCAGUCCCACGUUUGCAAGGACGCAAAGUCCUAAAAAUGGCCCCGUCUAGUUUUUGCUGGCCUAAAUGUCACGUCGGGUGGGGCCACUUCUAGACUCCGUAUGAGCCACUAACGCUUUGAGGAUCCCACAUUGAUUUGAGGAAGGGAAGGAAAUGGGUUUAAAGGCUUAGUCCAAUGGCUAUUGAGUAAUUUGGAUUAAGCUUCUGUGAUCCUCAAGUAACUAACAGAAACCAAUAGGAAUUAAUUCUCGUUCAGCGAACGUAACUUUUAAGAUUAUUGAAGUAUUCUUCUGCAAGAAGAAUAAGUCCAUAUUCUUUUGGUUCCUGUUCAACCGAGACAGCAAGACAUUUGAGUGGCUGGCAUCAACUUCCCUGCAAGGAAGAAGUUUUACAAGAAAAAUGACAGUAAUAGUAACCUUCCUAGCUCUAUUUAAGGAGUUGGUUGUAAUCUUUAACAAAUAAACAAGCAUAUCAGCCACCAAUUAACUUGUAAAACCAUUAUCCACUCCCUCUUUCUCUCUUAGAUAAGCCAGCCAAAGAUAACAAUGGCGGAGGUUUUGCUGAGUGCAUCUGUGGAUUUCAUAAUUCACAAGUUAGCUUCAGUUGCUAAUGAAAACAUCAGCUUAUUGUCAGGCUUCAACGACGACCUGCAAAGGUUGGGAAGAUCAAUCCCCAUAAUACAAU
rnacentral:lncRNA from 1 species